AUACGGAGGAUCCAAGCGUUAUCCGGAUUUAUAGGGUUUAAAGGGUGCGCAGGCGGCCUUAUAAGUCAGUGGUGAAAUCUCCCGGCUCAACCGGGAAACUGCCAUUGAUACUGUAAGGCUAGAAUACAGACGAGGUAGGCGGAAUGUAGCAUGUAGCGGUGAAAUGCUUAGAUAUGCUACAGGACACCGAUCGCGAAGGCAGCUUACCAGACUGUAAUUGACGCUAAGGCACGAAAGCGUGGGGAGCGAACAGGAUUAGAUACCCCAGUAGUCC
rnacentral:rRNA from 1 species